AUUGUUUGUUUGCUUGUUUUGGUAUGUUGAGAGAUGCUAUAAAAGGAGCAGUCCCAGUCCAGAUAGAGAACACAUUCUGAAGACAUUGUAUCCUUGCAUCUAGCUGAAUACCUGCAAAAAAUGGCUUCCUUCAAGUUAUCAGUGAUUGCCUUAUUGGCCAUUGGGCUUUACCUGGACACGGUCUGUGCUGCUUCUAUAACCUUGUAAGUGCACUUAAUCUGAUUAUUUUCUCACCAUAACUUAAUUUAGUGAGUCAAUUAUCGGUUUGUUGGUUUUUUAUUUCAUUAAUUCAUUGCAAAUGAAUGGUAUCGCUCUGUCUUUCCAUUUCAGGGAAGAAAAAGUUGAGACAAUAGUGAACCGGUAAGCAUCCCUUUUCUCUUCUGAAUCCCUCAACCUCUCCCUUCCAUUAACGACCUCUCCUUUACUCAGUUCAAUGGUAUCUCUUCUUCCCUUUACAGUACAAUAACUGACCUUUCAGAAUCAGCUGCUGAGGUUCUAAGCAGUGACGCUGCGGUCGAUUUGGAACAAGUGGCUGAGGAAAUUAACAACACUGCAGCGAUGAAAGAGCUUGAUGCAGAAAUUGUUGAAUUUCUAAACAGUGACGCUGUGGUUGAAUUGGAACAAAAUAAUGCGGAAUUUCUAAACAGUUCAGUGGUGACUGACGUUUAUGAUGCAGUUGCCAAACUUGUAAACAGUCCAGCUAUGGCUGAACUAGGAGAAGCACUCCAGGCAGUUCUGGAAAGUUCAGAUAUGGAAAAGAUUUCUACAGCAUUGGAGCAUAUUCUGGAAUCGUAAGUAACCAUUCGCUCUCUUCAAUGAUCGAAUCUAAUCUAAUUAUCUAAUUUAGUACAAACAUUAUCAAUGAAUCAGUAUGUAUGGAAUUUGUGGUAUCAAAUCAAUGGCGUCGCUUUUUUUCCUUUACAGGGACGAUUUCGCUUCUCUACAUGUUGCAUUGACAGUGGCGUAAGAUUCCCCUCUGCUCAAUCCCUCUACCUCCGUCAUAUGCAUCUCUAUAUUAUCUCUAAUUUAAUACAUUAUAUUAUCUGGUCAACUUAAACAAAAUACAAUUCUAUAGAAAGGCCAUUGCCGUAAAACUGUACUAUAGUACAAUCCACUGUUGUACAUGUCUUAAUUAGUAUACUUAAAGGGCUAAAACACAAUGCCAUUUUGGCACCUUAGCGCAGAACUAAUGUAUGACUUUAAUGGUAGCUUACAUUAAGAGGUACAAAUUUAAUCUUACGAAGUGUCAACUUUCUCUUUCGUUUUUUCAGUUCUGACCAGGAGGAGAGUGCAUUUGUCACCGAAGCAGACGCUGAAUUAUCUCCUUCUCUUAAGGGAUUUGCACAGUGCUUGGAAUCUUCUGCUCAGUAGUGGCUUUUGGUCCACUUCCUACAGAGGUGCACUCUCCUUGCUACCUCGGAACGCAUCUUUCAAGCAUCUCCACGGUGAACAGGAACCAAAUGCUGUGAUGUUCUUUCUCUCUUCUCAAGAUAACUGAAAAGUGAUCAACCUUAAAAUAAAAACUUUCUUGCAUUCAA